GUUCAAGCCUGGGUGUAAGUAAAAAAAUUCACCUCAAAGACUAAAAAAGGAAUUUUCAUUGUUUUCUUUGUCUUUUAUCUGUGUGUUGAUUACAUGAGUGUAUAUGUAGGCGUUUUUUGGUAAUUGAAAGUAAAAUAGUAGUUGAUAUUUAAGACUAAAGUCCAUCAGGAAGAUUUGAACCAGUACAAUUUUUAUGCCCAUAAAAUUUUGCCAACAUUUUAAUUUUCAAGGAGAUCCAACAGAAUUAGAAGAGCCUGUGCGUAAAGUUCUUUUACAACACUAUGUAAACCAGCCUGGAAAAACUAAAUUGAUAGACAUCAUUGAAACACUUCAACAAAAUGUAAAAUGUCAUGGUGGAUAUAACUGGAAAAAAGAAAAGUUGUCUGAUUUUAUUGGCCAAGUUUUUGCAACAGUUACUGUCAUACCAGAGCUUGUGCCAUCAUGUAAAAAAAAAGUGUUAUUUGUCAAAGAUUUGAUUGCAGUGGAACAAUUUAAUAAGACUGUUGAGGU
rnacentral:sRNA from 1 species